UACGAAGGGGGCUAGCGUUGCUCGGAAUCACUGGGCGUAAAGCGCACGUAGGCGGAUCGUUAAGUCAGGGGUGAAAUCCUGGAGCUCAACUCCAGAACUGCCCUUGAUACUGGCGACCUUGAGUUCGGGAGAGGUGAGUGGAACUGCGAGUGUAGAGGUGAAAUUCGUAGAUAUUCGCAAGAACACCAGUGGCGAAGGCGGCUCACUGGCCCGAUACUGACGCUGAGGUGCGAAAGCGCGGGGAGCAAACAGG
rnacentral:rRNA from 1 species